CUUUUAGGCGGCUCGAACGGGAGGGCUCACGCCCUGCCGGUUCUCGCAAGGGGUGCCCGGUCUUCCAACCUGUUCGAGUCGCCGCCACC
rnacentral:antisense_RNA from 2 species